rnacentral:rRNA from 1 species
UACGUAGGGGGCAAGCGUUGUCCGGAAUCAUUGGGCGUAAAGCGCGCGUAGGCGGCCCGGUAAGUCCGCUGUGAAAGUCAAAGGCUCAACCUUUGAAAGCCGGUGGAUACUGUGGGGCUAGAGUCCGGAAGAGGCGAGUGGAAUUCCUGGUGUAGCGGUGGAAUGCGCAGAUAUCAGGAGGAACACCAAUAGCGAAGGCAGCUCGCUGGGACGGUACUGACGCUAAGGCGCGAAAGCGUGGGGAGCGAACAGG